rnacentral:rRNA from 1 species
GACGAACGCUGGCGGCGUGCCUAAUACAUGCAAGUAGAACGCUGAAGGAGGAGCUUGCUUCUCUGGAUGAGUUGCGAACGGGUGAGUAACGCGUAGGUAACCUGCCUGGUAGCGGGGGAUAACUAUUGGAAACGAUAGCUAAUACCGCAUAAUAGUAGAUGUUGCAUGACAUUUGCUUAAAAGGUGCACUUGCAUCACUACCAGAUGGACCUGCGUUGUAUUAGCUAGUUGGUGGGGUAACGGCUCACCAAGGCGACGAUACAUAGCCGACCUGAGAGGGUGAUCGGCCACACUGGGACUGAGACACGGCCCAGACUCCUACGGGAGGCAGCAGUAGGGAAUCUUCGGCAAUGGACGGAAGUCUGAACGAGCAACGCCGCGGGAGUGAAGAAAGGUUUCGGAUCGGAAAGCUCUGUUGUAAGAGAAGAAAGAGUGUGAGAGUGGAAAGUUCACACUGUGACGGUAUCUUACCAGAAAGGGACGGCUAACUACGUG